CCUACGGGGGGCAGCAGUCGGGAAUAUUGCGCAAUGGAGGAAACUCUGACGCAGUGACGCCGCGUAUAGGAAGAAGGUUUUCGGAUUGUAAACUAUUGUCGUGAGGGAAGAAAUUGACAGUACCUCAGGAGGAAGCUCCGGCUAACUAUGUGCCAGCAGCCGCGGUAAUACAUAGGGAGCAAGCGUUAUCCGGAUUUAUUGGGUUUAAAGGGUGCGUAGGCGGAGUGUCAAGUCAGCGGUAAAAUUUCGGGGCUCAACCCCGUCGUGCCGUUGAAACUGACGCCCUUGAGUGAGUGAGAAGUAAG
rnacentral:rRNA from 1 species